CCCUUAGAUGUUCUGGGCCGCACACGCGCUACACUGAAGGAGGCAGCGUGUACUCCUGGAUCGAAAGAUUUGGGUAACCCGCGAAUCUCCUUCGUGCUAGGGAUUGAGGUUUGCAAUUAUCCUUCAUGAACGAGGAAUUCCCAGUAAGUGCAAGUCAUAAGCUUGCGCUGACUACGUCCCUGCCCUUUGUACACACCGCCCGUCGCUCCUACCGAUUGAGCAAACCGGUGAAUAGUUUGGACCGUCGGCUUUCUCGGUUCGCCGGGUUAGCAGUGCGGAAAAUUCAGUGAACCUUUUUGCUUAGAGGAAGGAGAAGUCGUAACA
rnacentral:rRNA from 1 species